GUGGGCGCUAUCCCUCCUGAGCUUAGAAAGAAGUCAAGGGCCUCCUUGGGAGCAAAGCCAGGUGGGUCGACGUCGCCUUGUAAGCGGGGUGUUAUGCACUUGCGCUUGACGCUCCGAUCUAAGACGUCAGCUGUAGCUCCAUGGGGUGUGAUGACUGCUUAGCCCGGCACACACUCUCUGCCCGGCCCACCUACCCUUGUGAGAUGGGUAGCGCUGAUUUGCGCGACUUCCAUGUCGGUUUUAUAUCACUCCUGAGCUAAGGUGUGCGAGUGCUGCAUAUCCUUU
rnacentral:misc_RNA from 1 species